GACGAACGCUGGCGGCGUGCUUAACACAUGCAAGUCGAACGGAAAGGCCCUGCUUUUGUGGGGUGCUCGAGUGGCGAACGGGUGAGAAACACGUGAGUAACCUGCCCUUGACUUUGGGAUAACUUCAGGAAACUGGGGCUAAUACCGGAUAGGAGCUCCUGCUGCAUGGUGGGGGUUGGAAAGUUUCGGCGGUUGGGGAUGGACUCGCGGCUUAUCAGCUUGUUGGUGGGGUAGUGGCUUACCAAGGCUUUGACGGGUAGCCGGCCUGAGAGGGUGACCGGCCACAUUGGGACUGAGAUACGGCCCAGACUCCUACGGGAGGCAGCAGUGGGGAAUAUUGCACAAUGGGCGGAAGCCUGAUGCAACAACGCCGCGUGCGGGAUGACGGCCUUCGGGUUGUAAACCGCUUUCGCCUGUGACGAAGCGUGAGUGACGGUAAUGGGUAAAGAAGCACCGGCUAACUACGUG
rnacentral:rRNA from 1 species